AGCCCCUGGCAAUGGGCAAAGAGACACCUUGUUGGUAGUGGUGGUCUUGUCUCAGUCAAGGGCAAGGCAGAUGGCAGUCCUAUGCUCUUUCUAGCUUGAUGCCUGUCCUUGUGACCAAAGCUGUUCUAUCCCUAGGCCAUAAAC